rnacentral:rRNA from 1 species
AGAGCGAACGCUGGCGGCAUGCUUAACACAUGCAAGUCGCACGGGCAUUUCGGUGUCAGUGGCGGACGGGUGAGUAACGCGUAGGUAUCUAUCCUUGGGUGGGGGAUAACGGUUGGAAACGACUGCUAAUACCGCAUGAUAACUGAGGUUUAAAGGCGCAAGUCGCCUGGGGAGGAGCCUGCGUACGAUUAGCUUGUUGGUGGGGUAAAGGCCUACCAAGGCGACGAUCGUUAGCUGGUCUGAGAGGAUGAUCAGCCACAUUGGGACUGAGACACGGCCCAAACUCCUACGGGAGGCAGCAGUUAGGAAUUUUCCGCAAUGGGCGAAAGCCUGACGGAGCAACGCCGCGUGAGUGAUGAAGACCUUCGGGUUGUAAAGCUCUGUCGGAGGGAAGAACACAAUGACGGUACCCUCCAAGAAAGCCCCGGCUAACUACGUGCCAGCAGCCGC